AUGCACGCUGGCGGCGUGCCUAAUACAUGCAAGUCGAGCGAACAGACGAGGAGCUUGCUCCUCUGACGUUAGCGGCGGACGGGUGAGUAACACGUGGAUAACCUACCUAUAAGACUGGGAUAACUUCGGGAAACCGGAGCUAAUUCCGGAUAAUAUAUUGAACCGCAUGGUUCAAUAGUGAAAGACGGUUUUGCUGCCACUUAUAGAUGGAUCCGCGCCGCAUUAGCUAGUUGGUAAGGUAACGGCUUACCGAGGCGACGAUGCGUAGCCGACCUGAGAGGGUGAUCGGCCACACUGGAGCUGAGACACGGUCCAGACUCCUGCGGGAGGCAGCAGUAGGGAAUCUUCCGCAAUGGGCGAAAGCCUGACGGAGCAACGCCGCGUGAGUGAUGAAGGUCUUCGGAUCGUAAAACUCUGUUAUUAGGGAAGAACAAAUGUGUAAGUAACUAUGCACGUCUUGACGGUACCUAAUCAGAAAGCCACGGCUAACUACGUG
rnacentral:rRNA from 1 species